CGAGGGUUUCAGGUUCUGAUCUCAGGACGCUGGGGUUUGACUCGGAAACAACAUCUGGUGGAGAAACUGUUUUUGUUUUGUUGUUUCAACUGCAAACUGAUCAGUUAUCAGGUUAAUUGAUCAAUUGCAAUUGCGAUAAAAUGCGAGAAUAUUGUAAAAAAUACAGAUGAAAAUCUCCCAGAGCAAAGUGACGUCUACAGAUGAACAUUAGUCACUCAAAACUUCUCCAAAAUUUCUCAGAAGAUGCUCAAAAUUAAGCAAAACUUGUCCUCAAUGACACAAUAUUCAUGUAAAUUAAGCUACUUGAAUCUUGUCCAAACUUACUUAAAAAUUUCUCAACUUGACCCCAAAUUUCUUGAAAUGUGUCUGAAAUGACAAAAACGUAUCUAACAUAGCUCAAAACUUGACUGAAGCUUUUACAAAAUGGACAAAAUAACUCAGAAAUGUUUCAAAAUAACUCAAAAUUUGUCCAUAAUGUCCCAAUAUUCAUUCAAAUUACUUGAAUGUUGUCCAAACCUACUUACAAAUUGUCCAAUCUGACCCAAAAUUUGACCAAAAUGACUCAGAAAUUGUUCCAAAUAGGUUAAAACAUGUCUAAAAUGAGAAAAACCGACUUAAAAAAUGACUUAAACAAUCCAAAAUGUUCUGAAUAUUUGUCUAAAAUGUCCAACAAAACUGUCUACCAUGGCUCAAAACUUGUCAAGGAUAACUUGAAACUUAAAAUGACCGGAACUUUCACAAAAUAACUCAAAACUUGUUUGAAAUGACAAAAACUUUUAGAAAAUGACUCAAACAUUGUCCAAAAAUUUCUUGAAAAUUGUACAGAAUGAAUAAGAAAAUGCUCAAAAUUAAACAAAAUGUGUCCAAAAUGACACAGUAUUCAUCCAAAUUACUUGAAUCUUGUCCAAAUUUACUUAAAAAUGUCGAGUUUGACCCAAAAUUUGACCAAACUGACCCAAAACUUGUCUAAAAUGAGAAAAACUGACUAAACAUUGAGUUAAACAGUCCAAAAUUUCUUGAAAAUUUCUUAAAAUGUGCCUAAAAUGUCAACAACCUGUCGAACAUGGAUUAAAACUUGUCUAAAAUAACUUGAAACACCUCCUGAGACCCGGCCUAUUCACUUAUGUCCUUUAUAAUGGACAUUAUGUUCACCUGUAUAUUUCUGAAGUAUUUGGAGUUACCCUUCCAAGCCCUAUUGUAUUCUGUAGGGGACAUCCUGGGCUUUCCAGUGAUGUGUCAUGUGAUGGGUUUGCAUGCUGGGAACUUUACUUUUUUCCUGUAUCAAGAUGGCUGCUAUACCAGCAACCACAUUUUAUGGAAAGAGGAGAGGUAAGUCAAAUAUUCAUUAUCUAUUGCUAUUUUUACCAUGAUAACUAUAUAUAUUCUUGUUCAUAAACAUGUUAAGAACAAUAUUUUUACAUCUGAAAACAGUUUCGUUAUUUAUGUUUUGAAAUAACAGGCCUUUAAUGAAUGUCAACUGUGGUGGACACCAGGACUAUUUUAAUGUAAUCAAUGACUGCAUAUUGUUGUAGGAGAAAGAAGUGAAGCAGAGAGGAUUCUAUACCAGAUAGUAGAGGGAGAUUCAGAUUUGGAGCUUUCAGAUGAGGAAAAGGAUGCAGAAGAUGAGUAUCAGCCUGUGACAGAUGAUGAUGAAGAAGGAGAAGAAGAAGAUGCAGGAGAAUCUGAUGAGACAGAGUCAGAGCCAGAGAGGGAGCAACAAAGUCGUCGUGAUCUAUGAUCCAGGACUAGCUUAUUGACACCUGUGCUACCUGUGCUUCCUGGCUAUCAAGAUGACCCUAAAAUUCGUGAAUACUGGAGUCCAAUCCAGUACUUUUCACAGUACAUUGAUGACAAAAUCUUUGAGGAUCUGGCAGCUUUUACAAAUCAAAGACAGCUGCAAACUUUUUGUUCAAAUUGAAUGUGUUCUUGGGUGAAUAUCAUUGUAAAGAUAUAAUAUGCUCCUUUUUUUCUCAUUUUCUACAUUCAGUUCUAUUUUCAGGCCGAUAUCGUCCUGCUGUCCUCUACAAUGGACAUGCUGUGAAAUUAAAAUAAAAAAUAUUUUUCAAAAAAUGAAAA